AGUAACUCUACCGCUGAGCUAACACUGAUGUGAAUGCAUGUGGCGUUGUACAUUAUAUUGAGACGGAGCGAGGCGCCAGAACUGUAUCGCACGCAUGAUAGUGGUAAAUUUAUUCAUCGCACAGACCAGUUUUUUCGUAGCACGUGCGACAUAUAUUGUCGCAUUGUACAGCCCUGUAAAGUUAAUUCACAACAGAACAG